rnacentral:rRNA from 1 species
UCGAGAAUCUUCGGCAAUGGGCGCAAGCCUGACCGAGCGACGCCGCGUGGAGGACGAAGGCCUUCGGGUUGUAAACUCCUGUCGAGGGGGAAGAAGGGCCGUUAAAAGCCUUGACUGAUCCCUGGAGGAAGCACGGGCUAAGUUCGUGCCAGCAGCCGCGGUAAGACGAACCGUGCGAACGUUAUUCGGAAUCACUGGGCUUAAAGCGCGUGUAGGCGGAUGGGAACGUCGGUCGUUGAAAUCCCCCGGCUUAACCGGGGAAGGGGCGCCGAUACGACCCGUCUGGAGGAACGUAGGGGGAGCUGGAACUUCCGGUGGAGCGGUGAAAUGCGUUGAGAUCGGAAGGAACGCCCGUGGCGAAAGCGAGCUCCUGGACGUUUUCUGACGCUGAGACGCGAAAGCCAGGGGAGCGAACGGGAUUAGAUACCCCCGUAGUCC